GCAGCAGUGAGGAAUAUUGGACAAUGGGCGCAAGCCUGAUCCAGCCAUGCCGCGUGCAGGAUGACGGUCCUAUGGAUUGUAAACUGCUUUUGCACAGGAAGAAACAACAUUACGAGUAAUGUCUUGACGGUACUGUGAGAAUAAGGAUCGGCUAACUCCGUGCCAGCAGCCGCGGUAAUACGGAGGAUCCAAGCGUUAUCCGGAAUCAUUGGGUUUAAAGGGUCCGUAGGCGGUUUAGUAAGUCAGUGGUGAAAUCCCAUCGCUCAACGGUGGAACGGCCAUUGAUACUGCUAGACUUGAAUUAUUAGGAAGUAACUAGAAUAUGUAGUGUAGCGGUGAAAUGCUUAGAGAUUACAUGGAAUACCAAUUGCGAAGGCAGGUUACUACUAAUUGAUUGACGCUGAUGGACGAAAGCGUGGGUAGCGAACAGGAUUAGAUACCCUUGUAGUC
rnacentral:rRNA from 1 species